UGUUUAAGUAGCGGAAGCAUUGUUUAAACCCAAGUUAAACAUACUGAAAUGUCAUAAGUGUCUAACAAAGUAAUACGAUCCUUGUCCACAACGACCGGCUCCUCUUUGUGCAAGCUCCAUGUACCUAACGAUCUGCAAGGCAUUUCUUGUUUUUGAUCAUCAAAAAACGUUUUGAGGGUUGUCGAAUUGUUGAUCAAUGGCUGUAGGGAGCAGAUGAGGGUGGUUUUGCAAGAUUUGUUUCAGGAGCUGACCAACCGAGGACUCAAACUUAAGUGGUGCUACAGGAGCCAAAUUAUAACCUGAACCUGAACCAGAAUCACUUGAUGAUGCUUUUGCUAUACAACUCCUCGCUCGGGAUGAUUCAACUCUAGAGCCCUAUCAUUCAUAGAACUAUCAAGACAAUUGAUAGCAUUGACAAGGAACAACAAUAUAACUUCAAUUUCAUUA
rnacentral:lncRNA from 1 species